rnacentral:rRNA from 1 species
CCUACGGGAGGCAGCAGUGAGGAAUAUUGGUCAAUGGGCUUACGCCUGAACCAGCCAAGUCGCGUGAGGGAAGACUGCCCUAUGGGUUGUAAACCUCUUUUGCCAGGGAGCAACGCCGGCUACGUGUAGCCGGACUGAGAGUACCUGAAGAAAAAGCAUCGGCUAACUCCGUGCCAGCAGCCGCGGUAAUACGGUGGAUGCGAGCGUUAUCCGGAUUUAUUGGGUUUAAAGGGUGCGUGGGGGGAAUGCCAAGUCGGCGGGAAAAUCGCGGGGCUCAACCCCGCUCCGCCGUUGAAACUGGCGUUCUUGAGUGGACGAGAGGUAUGCGGAAUGCGUGGUGUAGCGGUGAAAUGCGUAGAUAUCACGCAGAACUCCGGUUGCGAAGGCAGCAUACCGGCGCCCAACUGACGCUGAGGCACGAAAGCGUGGGUAUCGAACAGGAUUAGAUACCCCAGUAGUC